UACGUAGGUGGCGAGCGUUAUCCGGAUUUACUGGGUGUAAAGGGCGCGUAGGCGGGUCUGCAAGUCAGAUGUGAAAUACCGGGGCUCAACCCCGGGGCUGCAUUUGAAACUGCAGGUCUUGAGUGAUGGAGAGGCAAGUGGAAUUCCUAGUGUAGCGGUGAAAUGCGUAGAUAUUAGGAGGAACACCAGUGGCGAAGGCGACUUGCUGGACAUUAACUGACGCUGAGGCGCGAAAGCGUGGGGAGCAAACAGG
rnacentral:rRNA from 1 species